UAGGGAGACCUACCCGCAUUGAUGCUUGAACGCCAUUUGUUAUUAAAGCCAAUGUUGGUCAUCCCAAGGUCGUUCAAGGUUAAGUGUUGGCUUUCAAACUAGCUAGGUUUGGUUUAUGGGCUAUUAGCUCAGGUGGUUAGAGCGCACCCCUGAUAAGGGUGAGGUCCCUGGUUCGAGUCCAGGAUGGCCCACCUUUGAAAGCGGUCAACCAACAGUUGUUUCGCUCUAGUCUGUUGAGAUUGCAGUUUAGCAACUGAGCGUUGGUAGCUUUUCUGGGGGUUUAGCUCAGUUGGUAGAGCGCCUGCUUUGCAAGCAGGAUGUCAGCGGUUCGAGUCCGCUAACCUCCACUGGUCAAUGCUUGUUAGCAUUUUCUGCUGAGCAUUGGUCCAAGCGACAGGAGCAUUCAGCAACUCAUCUAGCCUUGUCUAGAGAGACUGCUGGCUUUGUUCCAGCCAGAACCUUGAAAACUGCAUAGUAACUUGUCAGGUAGAAAGAGCGCGUAGCGAUGCCUGUUUGGUAUUCAGCUUUCAAACGGCUGCAUGCUGAGCGAUGUACACUACGUGCAAAAUCACAGACACCAAUGAAAUUGUCAGU
rnacentral:tRNA from 1 species